UGGAGCACGGGGAACCGCUCAUCAUCUCCAAGGUAGAAGAGGGCGGGAAGGCGGACACUUUGGACCAACCUCUUCAGGUGGGGGAUGAGCUUGUCAUCAUUAAUGACGUGGAGCUGACUGGAUACCGACAGGAAGCCAUUGCUCUGGUCAAAGGAUCUUACAAGACGCUGCAGCUCACUGUCCGCAGGGAGUUUGAUCCAGGAUACGUCGAGGAGUUUGGUGCUUCACCUCCCUCGAUCCUGGCGCUUUCUGCUCCGUCUCCACCUCCUCUUUCUUCUCCACCCCAACCAACA